UUAUCAGCUUAAUAUCUGAUAGUUCCCGCAUUGCGGGACCAGUAUAUUAAACUGAUUUUUGUAAAGUAACGGGAUGUUCGGGGCUUGCUCCAGUCCUGUCGCGG
rnacentral:snRNA from 1 species